rnacentral:rRNA from 1 species
UACGUAGGGUGCGAGCGUUGUCCGGAAUUAUUGGGCGUAAAGGGCUCGUAGGCGGUUUGUCGCGUCGGGAGUGAAAACCUUGGGCUUAACUCAGGGCUUGCUUUCGAUACGGGCAGACUAGAGGUAUGCAGGGGAGAACGGAAUUCCUGGUGUAGCGGUGAAAUGCGUAGAUAUCUGGAGGAACACCGGUGGCGAAGGCGGCAUCCUGGACCGGCAUUGACGCUGAGGCGCGAAAGCCAGGGGAGCAAGCGGGG